AUUGAACGCUGGCGGCAGGCCUAACACAUGCAAGUCGAGCGGAGGAAGGGAGCUUGCUCCUGGAUUCAGCGGCGGACGGGUGAGUAAUGCCUAGGAAUCUGCCGGGUAGUGGGGGAUAACGUCCGGAAACGGGCGCUAAUACCGCAUACGUCCUGAGGGAGAAAGUGGGGGAUCUUCGGACCUCACGCUAUCAGAUGAGCCUAGGUCGGAUUAGCUAGUUGGUGGGGUAAAGGCCUACCAAGGCGACGAUCCGUAACUGGUCUGAGAGGAUGAUCAGUCACACUGGAACUGAGACACGGUCCAGACUCCUACGGGAGGCAGCAGUGGGGAAUAUUGGACAAUGGGCGAAAGCCUGAUCCAGCCAUGCCGCGUGUGUGAAGAAGGUCUUCGGAUUGUAAAGCACUUUAAGUUGGGAGGAAGGGCAGUAAGUUAAUACCUUGCUGUUUUGACGUUACCAACAGAAUAAGCACCGGCUAACUUCGUG
rnacentral:rRNA from 1 species